rnacentral:lncRNA from 1 species
ACAAAAGUAUAAUUCUCAUCUAUUCAUAAUCACAUUAUUCCAUUCAUUUCAUCAUUACAUAAUCAUCAUACAUACAUCGUGUAUACAAAGUCAAAUAAAAAUUAAGAUUUUGCAACUAAAAGAUAAAUUUUGAUUACACUUGUUUUGCCUAACUACCUUUUCAUAUCCAUGCAUUCAUACAUCAUCCAAAUCUAACAAAAAUUCACAUGUAUCACAACAAACCAGAGAUUGCAAUUUAGACAUUUUCAUUUCAAAUUCAAACUCAAUUCAAAUUAAACUCAAAUUUU